rnacentral:rRNA from 1 species
UACAGGGGGUGCAAACGUUGCUCGGAAUCAUUGGGCGUAAAGCGCACGUAGGCGGUUCGUUAUGUCGGAUGUGAAAGCCCUUGGCUUAACCGAGGAAGUGCAUCCGAAACUGGCGAGCUAGAGUACUAAAGAGGAUCGCGGAAUUCCCGGUGUAGAGGUGAAAUUCGUAGAUAUUGGGAAGAACACCGGUGGCGAAGGCGGCUAUCUGGACCGUAACUGACGCUGAGGCGCGAAAGCGUGGGGAGCAAACAGG